rnacentral:rRNA from 1 species
AGGGUUUGAUCAUGGCUCAGAACGAACGCUGGCGGCAGGCCUUAUACAUGCAAGUCGAGCGCAUCCUUCGGGAUGAGCGGCGGACGGGUGAGUAACGCGUGGGAAUGUGCCCUUCUCUACGGAAUAGCCACUGGAAACGGUGAGUAAUACCGUAUACGCCCUUAGGGGGAAAGAUUUAUCGGAGAAGGAUCAGCCCGCGUUAGAUUAGGUAGUUGGUGGGGUAACGGCCUACCAAGCCUACGAUCUAUAGCUGGUUUUAGAGGAUGAUCAGCCACACUGGGACUGAGACACGGCCCAGACUCCUACGGGAGGCAGCAGUAGGGAAUCUUGGACAAUGGGGGAAACCCUGAUCCAGCCAUGCCGCGUGAGUGAAGAAGGCCUUAGGGUCGUAAAGCUCUUUCGCCUGUGAUGAUAAUGACAGUAGCAGGUAAAGAAACCCCGGCUAACUCCGUGCCAGCAGCCGCGGUAAUAC